UACAGAGGUCUCAAGCGUUGUUCGGAUUCAUUGGGCGUAAAGGGUGCGUAGGCGGGCAGGUAAGUCAGUGGUGAAAUCCCCGGGCUUAACUUGGGAACUGCCGUUGAUACUAUCUGUCUUGAAUAUCGUGGAGGUGAGCGGAAUAUGUCAUGUAGCGGUGAAAUGCUUAGAUAUGACAUAGAACACCCAUUGCGAAGGCAGCUCACUACACGAUAAUUGACGCUGAGGCACGAAAGCGUGGGGAGCAAACAGG
rnacentral:rRNA from 1 species